UCAGGAGAAAUGUCUGGAAACCAGCUAACAUGAGGCAGUUACGGUGACCCAUCAGAGAGUGUUAAGAGAAGAUUUUCCUCCCAGAUUCUCUAAGGGCCCAUUGGCCUCUGCUGAUUUAGUAUCACUGCUUGAAGCCAUCAUUACUCCUAGUGACCUUUCAUCUUUGUGGCUGCUUUUGUGAGGAGGGCCUAAACAUGACUCUCUUGACUGUAAGCUUUAUUCAGGCAGAGAAACCGAGCCUUGAAGAUAUUAUCAACAUGCCUAUGUUUACAGAGAAAGCAACCCUGGAUUGUGGCUGACUCCAAAGCCAGUUUGCCAGCAUGCAGUUCAAGUGAAUAAAUCUAACUCUCUACAGAGGAAAUUCCAUUGGAAAUACAGCUUUCUCCCCGUAAAUUGAUUCUACUCAAGACUUCUACUCAAGACAGGCCUAGUGGUGCGUGCAUG